rnacentral:misc_RNA from 1 species
CGCACCUUGCGCCUCUUGGUAUUCCGAGAGGCAUGCCUGUCUGAGUGUCAUGAAAUCUCAAUCCCCGAGGGUUUUUCUCGAACCACGGUGGACUUGGACUUGGGCGUCUGCCACCCCUGGCUCGCCUCAAAUGUAUCAGUGGUCUUCCAUCGACCUAUGCCUGACGUAAUAAGUUUCGUCUCGGCCGGUCCCUGGUGCCGCUCACAACCAACCAUUUUCUUGACCAUUGACCUCAGAUCAGGUAGGGCUACCCGCUGAACUUAA